AUCCGCAAAGAAAAUAUUUUAUGAAAGACGUUAACAUAAAAUCGCUUCAACAGCAAUAAAAGAAGAAUAAAAGGAACAACUGCAUCUCUCUAGACAUCCCAUUUUGAGCAAGGAGAAACACGGAACACACGGAGUGUUAACCUGAUUGUGUUUCGAGUGUGUCACAAUUUUCGGAACAAUGCACUAAACUCCAACGGAGCCAACAUUCAUAAAACUGCUGCUACUCUGCUGUUGUCACCAUUCUUUCGGAUGUUCAGCUACACAUUGUAGGUCAGAUUCAUUCUUAAACAAAUUCUAAGUCGUCUGGAAGACUUAUGGAGGAUAAGAUUUUCACGAAAAAGAGAUAAUCAGCUAAAGGCUCUCGUUGCGACAAAUGACCAAUAAAAACCCAUAGGAAUCAACAAGCAAAAUGAAACUCGACAACUGACACUGGGAAUUUUUAUAUGUGUUCUUCUGUGAUUAAACCUAUUUAUUGGUAGUUUUCUUUCAAAU